GUGGGGAAUAUUGCGCAAUGGGCGAAAGCCUGACGCAGCGACGCCGCGUGGGGGAUGACGGCCUUCGGGUUGUAAACCUCUUUCAGCAGGGACGAAGCGAGAGUGACGGUACCUGCAGAAGAAGCACCGGCCAACUACGUGCCAGCAGCCGCGGUAAUACGUAGGGUGCAAGCGUUGUCCGGAAUUAUUGGGCGUAAAGAGCUCGUAGGCGGUUUGUUGCGUCGGCUGUGAAAUCCCGAGGCUCAACCUCGGGUCUGCAGUCGAUACGAGCAAACUAGAGUGUUGCAGGGGAGACUGGAAUUCCUGGUGUAGCGGUGAAAUGCGCAGAUAUCAGGAGGAACACCGGUGGCGAAGGCGGGUCUCUGGGCAACAACUGACGCUGAGGAGCGAAAGCGUGGGGAGCGAACAGG
rnacentral:rRNA from 1 species